UUUACUCUUCUAAUAGGUUAUUGGGGAUCAGUUAGAAAUGACCUAAAUACCCAAGCCUGAUUAAAAUAACAACCUGUCUACCCUAUCCCUCGCGUACGUACUAAUACAAAACACGCCCAGCGCCGCCGCUGUUUCAGAUCUAAAAACCAGGCUGCCCGGGAGAGAGCCAAGAAAGAAAAGGAUGACCGGGACGCGGAGCUAGCUUCCAGCGCCGGCAAGAACAAGCGGAGGGCCACCAACCAGCAGACGGCUGGCCGUAAAUAAUCCGACAAAGGUUAAAAUCUAGGAGGACCAUGUCAGCAUCCGUCAUAAAGCCGAAGGCUAGUGCAUAGGAGAUGCCUGAAUCAAUCCGACUAGAUUUCCAUAAUUGCAAAAAAAAAAUCUUAAGUAGCGAGUAGGAGAACAAUCUGUAAUGCAUAAGCACAUUGGUUAUUAGCCGAACUGGGUAUGGGACAGGUUUGUGGCUAUUUCAAAUGAGCUAUGGAUAAACUUUGGUGUGGAUAAUCUGGCUUGUUUCUGUUAUGUGAUUGUGAAGUGUGGAAUCCCUCA